GGGACGAACGCUGGCGGCGUGCUUAACACAUGCAAGUCGAGCGGAAAGGCCACUUCGGUGGUACUCGAGCGGCGAACGGGUGAGUAACACGUGAGUAAUCUGCCCUCCACUUUGGGAUAGCCACCGGAAACGGUGAUUAAUACCGGAUAUGACUUGUGCCUGCAUGGGUGUGAGUGGAAAGUUUUUCGGUGGGGGAUGUGCUCGCGGCCUAUCAGCUUGAUGGUGGGGUAAUGGCCUACCAUGGCUUCGACGGGUAGCCGGCCUGAGAGGGUGACCGGCCACACUGGGACUGAGACACGGCCCAGACUCCUACGGGAGGCAGCAGUGGGGAAUAUUGGACAAUGGGCGGAAGCCUGAUCCAGCAACGCCGCGUGAGGGAUGACGGCCUUCGGGUUGUAACCUCUUUCAGCACAGACGAAGCGAAAGUAGACGGUAUGUGCAGAAGAAGCACCGGCCAACUACGUGCCAGCAGCCGC
rnacentral:rRNA from 1 species